ACUCAAAGGAAUUGACGGGGACCCGCACAAGCGGAGGAACAUGUGGUUCAAUUCGAUGAUACGCGAGGAACCUUACCUGGGCUUAAAUGCAGAACGACAGGCUGGGAAACUGGCCCUUCUUCGGACGGUCUGCAAGGUGCUGCAUGGUUGUCGUCAGCUCGUGCCGUGAGGUGUCGGGUUAAGUCCCAUAACGAGCGCAACCCUUAUCGUUAGUUGCCAACGGGUCAUGCCGGGGACUCUAACGAAACUGCCGGCGUAAGCCGUGAGGAAGGUGGGGAUGACGUCAAAUCAGCACGGCCCUUAUGUCCAGGGCUACACACGUGUUACAAUGGCCGGAACAAAGGGCUGCUAUGCCGCGAGGCAAUGCUAAUCUCUAAAACCGGUCUCAGUUCGGAUCGAAGUCUGCAAUUCGACUUCGUGAAGUUGGAUUCGCUAGUAAUCGCGCAUCAGCAAUGGCGCGGUGAAUACGUUCCCGGGUCUUGUACACACCGCCCGU
rnacentral:rRNA from 1 species